CUACGGAGGAUGCAAGCGUUAUCCGGAUUUAUUGGGUUUAAAGGGUGCGUAGGCGGUUUGCUAAGCGGGAGGUGAAAUGCCGGCGCUCAACGUCGGAAGUGCCUCCCGAACUGGUGGACUGGAAUGACUCUGCCGUGGGAGGAAUGUGUAGUGUAGCGGGGAAAUGCUUAGAGAUUACACAGAACACCGAUUGCGAAGGCAUCUCACGAAGGGUUGAUUGACGCUGAGGCACGAAAGCGUGGGGAUCAAACAGGAUUAGAUACCCUGGUAGUCCACGCAGUAAACGAUGAUGGCUAACCGCUGGUUUAUUCGGAUCAGUGGCCAAGCGAAAGCGAUAAGCCAUCCACCUGGGGAGUACGACCGCAAGGUUGAAACUCAAAUGAAUUGGCGGGG
rnacentral:rRNA from 1 species